GGCAGUGGUAGCUCAGCGGUUAUGGUUUUUUGUCUACUGCGCUGAAGGUCAUGAGUUCAAAUCCCAGCCUUGUCA